rnacentral:rRNA from 1 species
UCCGUAGGGGGAACCUGCGGAGGGAUCAUUACACAAUAAAAUACGAAGGCCGUUCGCGGCUGGACUAUUUAUUACCCUUGUCUUUUGCGCACUUGUUGUUUCCUGGGCGGGUUCGCUCGCCACCAGGACCACAAUAUAAACCUUUUUUAUGCAGUUGCAAUCAGCGUCAGUAUAACAAAUGUAAAUCAUUUACAACUUUCAACAACGGAUCUCUUGGUUCUGGCAUCGAUGAAGAACGCAGCGAAAUGCGAUACGUAGUGUGAAUUGCAGAAUUCAGUGAAUCAUCGAAUCUUUGAACGCACAUUGCGCCCUUUGGUAUUCCAAAGGGCAUGCCUGUUCGAGCGUCAUUUGUACCCUCAAGCUUUGCUUGGUGUUGGGCGUUUUUGUCUUUGGCCCGCCAAAGACUCGCCUUAAAAUGAUUGGCAGCCGGCCUACUGGUUUCGCAGCGCAGCACAUUUUUGCGCUUGCAAUCAGCAAAAGAGGACGGCAAUCCAUCAAGACUCCUUCUCACGUUUGACCUCGGAUCAGGUAGGGAUACCCGCUGAACUUAAGCAUAUCAAUAAGCGGAGGAA